GAACGCUGGCGGCAGGCCUAACACAUGCAAGUCGGGCGGUAACAUUUCUAGCUUGCUAGAAGAUGACGAGCGGCGGACGGGUGAGUAACGCGUAGAAAUCUACCUAGUAGUGGGGGAUAGCCCAGAGAAAUUUGGAUUAAUACCGCAUACGCCCUACGGGGGAAAGCGGGGGAUCUUCGGACCUCGUGCUAUUAGAUGAGUCUGCGUCGGAUUAGCUUGUUGGUGAGGUAAUGGCUCACCAAGGCGACGAUCCGUAGCUGGUCUGAGAGGAUGACCAGCCACACUGGAACUGAGACACGGUCCAGACUCCUACGGGAGGCAGCAGUGGGGAAUAUUGCACAAUGGGCGCAAGCCUGAUGCAGCCAUGCCGCGUGUGUGAAGAAGGCCUUAGGGUUGUAAAGCACUUUCAGCAGUGAGGAAAGGGGUGUCGUUAAUAGCGCCAUCCUGUGACGUUAACUGCAGAAGAAGGACCGGCUAACUCCGUG
rnacentral:rRNA from 1 species